rnacentral:rRNA from 1 species
AUCUUAAGGCCUCAAAAAACUAAUUCUCUUCAGUGGAUGGUAAUUGUCCUCACGAGGAUAAGUGUACCUCACCCCCACACCCGACUCGGCCACGGAGGUUGCUUCAAUUAAGCUUGAUUCACACUAUAGUGCUAGUCAAGGUCCAGUCACGGUCCGGUAACGGUCCGAUCAAAAGAUUGAGUAUAGCUUGAUUCACACUAUAGUGCCAGUCAAGGUCCAGUCACGGUCCGGUAUCGGUCCGAUCAAAUGAUUGUUGAAGGCAAGUAAAUGUGAGUGUACACACUAGACGUUCUAGUCAAGUUACGGUAACGGUCAGCUCACAGUCAAAAUUUGGAACAUUCUCGCGACGAAUCUUUUUGAUCGGACCGAAACUGGACCGUGACCGGAGCGAGACUGGCACUGUAGUGUGAAUAGGUAGCGAUCAAGCAACGAUCAACAUUCCUUCGUUCAGACCAACUAGAAAUGAAAGAAAAAUGACCGAAGCAUGACCGAAGCAUGAACGUUGCUUGAACGAUAGUGUGAAUACUCAAUCUUUUGAUCGGACCGUUACCGGACCGUGACUGGACCUUGACUGGCACUAUAGUGUGAAUCAGGCUUUACUGACCACGUAACCUCCGAGGUCUUUGACAUUUGGAAAUGGAAAUCGAGGAUCUGUGAGUGACUACAAAAUACAUUACAGCAUAUAACACAUUAUGUUAUGACAUAUGGUUUCAAGAAAUGUAUCGAGAUUUCACCUAAUCUACGCAGUAUUGAUAAAGGCGUUCAAAGUUCAUCUGGUUUCAAAAACUCUUCCAUGAGAUAGGUAGGUAGGUAGGUACUUAGGUAGGUAAGUGUACUGCAUAGGUACCUGCCUAUAUUGCAUAAGUAUUACUGAAGAUAAUCGUAGAAUCGAGUUGAAUCGGGUAUAAUAUUACAUAACUAUAAUAUUCAACUGAUGGCCGAAACGACCUCAACCUAUUCUCAAACUUUAAAUGGGUGAGAACCCCGGCUUGCUCGAGAUGUUUGAAGCCGCGGGCCUUGGAUCACUUGAGUGCCAAGUGGGCCAAUUUUGGUAAGCAGAACUGGCGCUGUGGGAUGAACCAAACGCCGAGCUACGGCGACUAAAUCGACGCUCAUUGGAGACCAGAAAAGGCGUUGGUUGCUACCGACAGCAGGGCGGUGGCCAUGGAAGUCGGACAUCCGCUAAGGAGUGUGUAACAACUCACCUGCCGAAGCAACUAGCCCUGAAAAUGGAUGCCGCUGAAGCGUCGUGCCUAUGCUCGGCCGUCAGUGGCAGAGUGGGCUGUCCGGUACGCGUACCGGCCCGGCAGACCCGGUAAGCCCUGACGAGUAGGAGGGCGCAGUGGUGUGCGCAGAAGGGACCGAGCCGUAAGGCCGCCUGGAGCCGCCACUGGUGCAGAUCUUGGUGGUAGUAGCAAAUACUCGAGUGAGAGCCCUGGAGGGCUGAUGUGGAGAAGGGUUCCUUGUGAACAGCCGUUGCACAAGGCUCAGUCGAUCCUAAGUCCUCGCCAAACAGCGAUGCUAUAAGCAGUGGUUCGUGUUGAUUUUGUGUUGUACUACUGGUCUACCAAUAACAGACAACGAAAAUUGUAACCGCCACGGACGAAAGGGGACGCGGUCCCCAUUCCGCUACCUGGACGCGGAACCGCUCUCAUGUUUCGUGGCCCUCGUCCGACGUGUCGCCGCUUCAACGCGCGCGCACGCUCGGCGUAGGCCUCGUCGGGGUAACCCGAAAAGACCCGGAGAAGCUGAGGGGAGCUCCGGGGAGAGUUAUCUUUUCUGUAUCAGCGUUGUAGCUGCCUGGAAUCCUCUAGCAGGGAGAUAGGGAGCCGAACGCGGAGAGCACCGCAGUUGCUGCUGUGUCCGGAGCCUCCCCCUCGGACCGUGAAAAUCCGGGAGAGGGCCACGCGAAGUCUCGCGCCAGGUCGUACUCAUAUCUGCAUCAGGUCUCCGAGGUGAAGAGCCUCUAGUCGUAUAGACUAAUGUAGGUAAGGGAAGUCGGCAAAAUCGAUCCGUAACUUCGGAAUAAGGAUUGGCUCUGAGGAACGUGGUCCGUCGGGCUUGGUCGGGAAGCGGGUUAGCGCCUACGAGCCGGGCCUGUGCGAGGUGAAGUCCGGUUGCCGCGCGGCUUUCGUGCGCGCGCGCGCCCGGGCGCCUUCGGGUGUCCGGUGUGCGUGUCGUGCGGAGUCGCCGGUCGGUUUCGGAUCCGAGCACGGUCCCGUGCCUAGGCACCCCGCGGAGCUUCCUCGCUGCGAGACCCCGGGUUCUGUUGGGCGCGGGGUUCACGCCCCGCGUUCGCACCGGGCGCUUCUCUUCGGCGGCCAUGUAACGGUCAGGUCAGAACUGGCACGGACAAGGGGAAUCCGACUGUCUAAUUAAAACAAAGCAUUGCGAUGGCCCCAAAGGGUGCCUGACGCAAUGUGAUUUCUGCCCAGUGCUCUGAAUGUCAACGUGAAGAAAUUCAAGCAAGCGCGGGUAAACGGUAGGAGUAACUAUGACU